rnacentral:miRNA from 1 species
AUCUAGGGACGCGUCGGCAACU